rnacentral:lncRNA from 10 species
UCCCGCCUGGAACAGGGAGGCCACAUCCAGCAGUGCGUCCUCAAUGUGCUGCCCCAGCCUGUGGGAAUCCUGGAAGGAGAACAGAUGUGGAAGGUGAUCAUGCCAUCCCCCAUGAAGAUAUAAGAAACACCAUAACCAUGGUCAUCAGCCUGGAGACGGAAAGAGUGAAGGGAAGAAAAUAGCUCCGGUCCCCUCCACCCCCACUAUGCAGGAGUGCAGGCCCCCCAGCCCCCUCUUUCCUCUGGGGGCCAGCGCGCCCAGCUCCACUCACAGGCCCGAAUCCACCGCCUGAGGAAACAUAGUCCGGGUAAUUGUGGACGUCAAACAGAUGCAUUUGCUGAACAGGGAUCUGGCUGGUGGACAGCUGCCACUGCUCCGAAUGGACCUGAGGACAGGAGCCCAUCACAUGUGCAGGACAGAGAUCUGCAGUUCCGGCCCUUGGCUCCACUUCACUCCCUGCAUCCCUGGCUUUUUUUUUACCCGUAAAUCCGGGCCUCCUUCUCCCUAACCACGCCCUUCUCCUGACCACGCCCUAUCUGGCCACGCCCCUCACUCGUCUCACCACCCACACCCACGUCCCUCUCCUCUUCUCCCUCGGACCACGCCCCUCCUCUGACCACGCCCUUUCCUCUUAUCCCCACCCCACUGACCCUCUCCCCUUUUGUCUGCUCCCGUUGUCCCGUUGCCUCUCCGCCUUCUGCCUUGCCGCCCCCCCACAACUGACUUCUCUGCUGACGCAUCCUUUCUCAACAUCACCCUCCUUUUUUUUUUUUUUUUGAGACAGAGUCUUGCUCUGUCGUCCAGGCUGGAGUGCAGUGGUGCGAUCUCAGCUCACUACAGCCUCCGCCUCCCGGGUUCAAGGGAUUCUAUUGCCUCAGCCC